CUUUGCCUCCGCCCUCCAACCGCGGGGCCUGGGCGCGGCGGCCGCGCCGGGGUCGGGCUCCUCGCCUUCCCCCGCGGGGCUCCCGGGCGGGAGCCGGCCGUGUGGCCGGCGGGGGGCGGGGGGAGUGCGGGGAGGACCCCGGGGGCGUCCUUCUCUCCGCGAGCCCCGCCAGAUGUUGCAAAGGCAAACAAGAGGGGAGACGCGGAGAAACAAAAGGCCAUUCGUCACAAUCUCCACGGGCUCUGUGGCGUGGUCCCUGCGGGGAGGACCUCUGGGAGGCGGUCAGGAAGCACCUUAAUACAUAUCGAUUGAAGAGUACCAAAUGACUAAGGAUUGCAUUUUACAAUUCUGACUACACACUUUAAAGAGCUUUGCCUGUGGGAAGAGAGGACUUUCAUCCCACUUCCAGCCCCUUAGUGGCUUCUUCCCUGGGGAGGAAUGGUAAAUCUUGUGAUUGGGAGGGAGCCAUCAAUAUUUCCUGGAUAAUUUCUAUCAGGGAGCGGGGUCAGUGUGGUGAAUGGUGCCCCAGCUCUUGCCAGCUCUCUGGCCCAGCUUCUCUGCCCAUGACCUCAUGGGCUGGAGAAGGGUGGCUCCACCUUCACAAUGUGCUCCGAAGGGCCAGCAUUUAGAUUCAAGCCCUCCUUGGUCCUCCUGUGUCUUUGUCUGGUGGGGCUACUACAACAAAGCUUGGGGGCUUCCCCACAACAGAAAGGUAUUUCUCAUAGUUCUGGAGGCUGAGAAGUCUAAGAUCAAGAUGCCAGCAGGUUCAGUGUUUGGUGAGGGCUUGCUUUCUCAUAGGCAGCUUUUCACUGUGUCCUCACAAAGCAGAAGCGGGCAGGGAGCUUUCUCAGGCCUCUUUUAUAAAGACACUAAUCCUGUUCAUAAGGCAUCGGCCCUCAUGACUGAUCACCUCCCAGAAGCUCCACCUUCCAAAACCAUCACACUGGGGUAUAGGAUUCAGCAGAUGAAUUUGGGGAGGACACAAACAUUCCAUCUGUAGCGUCCUGGGCUACCCCUCAUUCUCCAGUCCAGCUUUUAUCAGAGCUCUGCAUAGGUGUUAUACAGCAAACGGGCUCCAUCAUGAAUUGAACAAGACACUGUUUCCCACUGGCUAUUAUUCCUUAUGGUGUACGGUUCUUGGCUUGUAGGGAAAAGCAAUCUGAAGGGAAAGACUAGGGGAAGGGAAGGAUUCGGGUACCAAGGGUCCACCCAACAUAUACCCAUCCUCUCCCUCAAAUUUGCUCCACUGCUGUCUUCCCCAUCCUGGUGAAUGGCCUCUCCAACCUUUCAUUGGCUUAAAGCCCCAAAGCACAGGAUCAUCUUUGACUUUUCUCCUUUUCUGUUCCACUUCUAAUCUAUCAGCAAAUCUCAUUGGUUUUACCUUCAAAAGAUAUCCAAAUGCUGAUAGACCUCUUUCCACCACCUCAGUCCAAGCCACAAAUACCUGUAGCUAGUAUUACUGCAAUAACUUUCUAUCUGGCCCCCCUGCUUCCACCUUGCCACCCCCCCAUAUAUGCUAUUCUCAGUAAAGCAGCCAAUGUGAUUCCAGUAAAAGUGGUAUCAUAUUUUGUCAACUUGCUACUCCAGAUCCUCCUUGGGCUCCUCUUUCAACUCUGCUUAAAAUUAUUAUCACCUUCCCCUUCUAACACUCCCUAUCCAUAGUCCCUGCUCCAAUUUUCUCAGAAUUUAUUGCCAUCUGAUAUACAAUGUAUAUAUUGUCAUCUGAUAUGCUAUAUAUAUAUAUAUAUAGUAUAUUUCUUCAUAGAAUUUAUUGCCAUCUGAUAUACAAUACAUACAUAUAUAUAUAGUGUGUGUGUAUAUAUACACACACACAAAAUAUCCCUGUAUUCGUUUUCUGUUUUUUGCCCAUGUUAAUUUUCUAUGGCUGCCAUAACAAAGUACCACAAACUUAAUGAGGUACAACAAUAAAAUUUAUUAUAUUCUGGGGGUUAGAUGUUCAACACAGGUCUCAUUGGUGUCAGCAGGGCUGUGUUCCUCUUUGAAGUCUAUAGAGGAGAGAGAAUCAGUUUCCCUGUUUUUACUGAUUUCUAGAGGCUGCCCACAUACCUCAGCCUGUGGUUCCAUUUCUCCAUCUCCCAAACCAGCAACAUCAGUCAAGAUCUCAUUUUCUUCAUUCUGACCUUUCUGCUUUCCUCUUCCACUUCCCUCUUCCACUUAUAAAUCCCUUGGGAUUACACCGAGCCCAUCCAAAUAAUCCAGGAUUAUCUCCCUAUGUUAAAGUCAGCUGAUUAGUGACCUUAAUUCUGUCUGCAACUCCAAUUCCUACUUGCCAUGUAAUGUAACAUGAUCACAGGUUAUGGAGAUAAACAUGUGGACCUUUGGGGGGGCCGUUAUUCUGUCUUCCACAGUCUCACUCUUUCUACUAGAAUGUAAAUUCUACAUGACAUGGGUUUUUAUCUAUUUUGUCUAUUACUCUAUCCUCGGACUAGCUCAAUAAAUGUAUAGAUGCUCACUAUGGACUGAAUUAUAUCCCACCUCCCUCUGCCCCCAAAUGCAUAUGUGGAACCCCUAACCCUCAAUGUGAUGGUAUUUGGAGAUGGAGCCUUUAAGAGGUAGUUAGGGUUAUUGCUUCUGGCCUUUUGGUUAGAUGAAGUGUUAAGGGUAGUGCCCUCAUGAUGAGAUUAGUGACUUUAUAAGGAGAAACAAUAAAAGAGCAAUUGUCUCUCUGCCAUGUGAGGACAUGGGUGAGAAGGAGGCCAUCUGUCAGCCAACAAGACUCUCACCAGGAACCACACUGGCCAGCAUCAUGAUCUUGGACUUCCCAGUCCCCAAAACUAUGAGAAAUAAAUGUGUGUUGUUUAAGCCAUCCAGUCUAUGGUAUUUUGUUAUACACCUGAACACGCUAAUAUGGCCCUCAAAUAUGUGUUGACUUAAUUAAUGAAGAAAACUCAUUAUAGGUAUUGCAAAUAUUUAACAUCUGUUAAGCACCUACAAUACAUCAGGUCCUUGCUAAGUACUUUACAUGGAAUGUCUCAUUUAAUUCUCACAAGGUCCCUAUGCAGGAAAUACAGGUGAAGAAAUUAUAGACCAGAAAGAUAAGGGAACUUACCCAAGGACAUGCAGCUAGUACAUCAUGUAGGCAGGUUUUAGACUUGGCAGUGUAGCUUAAACCCAUAGCUGGAACCCUCACACUCCCCUGCCACUAUCAUGCAGCAAUAGGCUGCCUGGGAUCUUGCCCUCAAGAUGCUUAUAACCUGUUAGAGAAAUACGACUAGCAAUAAUACAAGGGAGACUGUGGGGGAGGGGAAGGUAUAGAAGAGACCAAUACAUUUCUGUGGAGCAUGGAGACAAGAUUAAUUCUGGAUGGAGUUGACUGUGGAGAGCUUCAAGGAGGAUGUGGCAUUUGACCUGGACUUAAAGAUGGUGACAUUGGGGUGCCUGGGUGGCUCAGUCAGUUAAGCGUCUGUCUUCAGCUCAAGUCAUGAUCCCCGAGUCCUGGGAUCAAGCCCUGCAUCGGGCUCCCUGCUCAGCGGGGAGUCUGCUUCUCCCUCUGCCCCUUCCCCUGCUUGUAUUCUCUCUCUCACUCUCUCUGCUCCUCUCUCAAAUAAAUAAAUAAAAUAUUUUUAAAAUAUA